UAGUCCACGCCGUAAACGAUGGAUACUAGCUGUUCGGUAGCAAUACUGAGUGGCUAAGCGAAAGUGAUAAGUAUCCCACCUGGGGAGUACGUUCGCAAGAAUGAAACUCAAAGGAAUUGACGGGGGCCCGCACAAGCGGUGGAGCAUGUGGUUUAAUUCGAUGAUACGCGAGGAACCUUACCAGGGCUUAAAUGUAGUCUGACAGGACUGGAAACAGUUUUUUCUUCGGACAGAUUACAAGGUGCUGCAUGGUUGUCGUCAGCUCGUGCCGUGAGGUGUCAGGUUAAGUCCUAUAACGAGCGCAACCCCUGUUGUUAGUUGCCAUCGAGUAAUGUCGGGAACUCUAACAAGACUGCCGGUGCAAACCGUGAGGAAGGUGGGGAUGACGUCAAAUCAUCAUGGCCUUUAUGCCUAGGGCGACACACGUGCUACAAUGGCGUGAACAGAGGGUAGCGAGACCGCGAGGUGGAGCCAAUCCCAGAAAUCACGUCCCAGUUCGGA
rnacentral:rRNA from 1 species